rnacentral:snoRNA from 1 species
UGGGGAAAUAUAGAGUAAAUAUUAAUAUGUACUCUGUAUUUCCCCACCUGAAAGUGGGGUGGGAGAAAUAUAGAGUAAAUAUUAAUAAUAUUUACUCUAUAUUUCCCAUCCCACGUAG